GGGGCUGUAGCUCAGCUGGGAGAGCGCCUGCCUUGCAAGCAGGAGGUCAUCGGUUCGAUCCCGUUCAGCUCCACCA
rnacentral:tRNA from 1 species